rnacentral:rRNA from 1 species
UUUAUGGAGAGUUUGAUCCUGGCUCAGGAUGAACGCUGGCGGCGUGCUUAACACAUGCAAGUCGAACGAUGAAGCCCAGCUUGCUGGGUGGAUUAGUGGCGAACGGGUGAGUAACACGUGAGUAACCUGCCCCCGACUCUGGGAUAAGCCCGGGAAACUGGGUCUAAUACCGGAUAUUACCUUUGACCGCAUGGUUGUUGGUGGAAAGAUUUAUCGGUGGGGGAUGGACUCGCGGCCUAUCAGCUUGUUGGUGAGGUAAUGGCUCACCAAGGCGACGACGGGUAGCCGGCCUGAGAGGGUGACCGGCCACACUGGGACUGAGACACGGCCCAGACUCCUACGGGAGGCAGCAGUGGGGAAUAUUGCACAAUGGGCGAAAGCCUGAUGCAGCGACGCCGCGUGAGGGAUGACGGCCUUCGGGUUGUAAACCUCUUUCAGUAGGGAAGAAGCGAAAGUGACGGUACCUGCAGAAGAAGCGCCGGCUAACUACGUGCCAGCAGCCGCGUAAUACGUAGGGCGCAAGCGUUAUCCGGAUUUAUUGGGCGUAAAGAGCUCGUAGGCGGUUUGUCGCGUCUGCCGUGAAAGUCCGAGGCUCAACCUCGGAUCUGCGGUGGGUACGGGCAGACUAGAGUGAUGUAGGGGAGACUGGAAUUCCUGGUGUAGCGGUGAAAUGCGCAGAUAUCAGGAGGAACACCGAUGGCGAAGGCAGGUCUCUGGGCAUUUACUGACGCUGAGGAGCGAAAGCAUGGGGAGCGAACAGGAUUAGAUACCCUGGUAGUCCAUGCCGUAAACGUUGGGCACUAGGUGUGGGGGACAUUCCACGUUUUCCGCGCCGUAGCUAACGCAUUAAGUGCCCCGCCUGGGGAGUACGGCCGCAAGGCUAAAACUCAAAGGAAUUGACGGGGGCCCGCACAAGCGGCGGAGCAUGCGGAUUAAUUCGAUGCAACGCGAAGAACCUUACCAAGGCUUGACAUGUGCCAGACCGCUCCAGAGAUGGGGUUUCCCUUCGGGGCUGGUUCACAGGUGGUGCAUGGUUGUCGUCAGCUCGUGUCGUGAGAUGUUGGGUUAAGUCCCGCAACGAGCGCAACCCUCGUUCCAUGUUGCCAGCACGUAGUGGUGGGGACUCAUGGGAGACUGCCGGGGUCAACUCGGAGGAAGGUGGGGAUGACGUCAAAUCAUCAUGCCCCUUAUGUCUUGGGCUUCACGCAUGCUACAAUGGCCGGUACAAUGGGUUGCGAUACUGUGAGGUGGAGCUAAUCCCUAAAAGCCGGUCUCAGUUCGGAUUGGGGUCUGCAACUCGACCCCAUGAAGUCGGAGUCGCUAGUAAUCGCAGAUCAGCAACGCUGCGGUGAAUACGUUCCCGGGCCUUGUACACACCGCCCGUCAAGUCACGAAAGUUGGUAACACCCGAAGCCGAUGGCCUAACCACCUUGUGUGGGGGGAGUCGUCGAAGGUGGGACUGGCGAUUGGGACUAAGUCGUAACAAGGUAGCCGUACCGGAAGGUGGCUGGAUCACCUCCUUU